CAGAUGACUCUGAAGUUUGCAUCCUAUUAGGUUGGUGCAAAAGUAAUUGCAGUUUUUGCCAUUAAAAUUAAUGGCAAAAAUAGCAAUUACUUUUGCAUCACCUAAUAUCUUUUCUCCUCCUACCAAACUUUGUCCCUGAACCAUCUCA
rnacentral:miRNA from 1 species